rnacentral:pre_miRNA from 1 species
GCCAUUACCAUCUUACUGGGCAGCAUUGGAUGUUUUCUGUGUUUCUAAUACUGCCUGGUAAUGAUGAUGAUGGU